CUUAUUCAUGUCCUAAUAGACCUCAUGUAUCAUGGCAAUCAACAUCAUUGAAGAAUUUGAAGCCAAAUCAGAAAUUUCCAAAAAUAGAAACUGGACUUGUGAUUUUAACUGCCAAAAAUGGAAACUUCUUGAUCCUCAACUUGCAUCAUGAUACAAGUUUCAAAUGAAUUUUUGCCCAACAUGAAAGUUGAAGAUCUUGUUCUCCCAUUUUCAAAAAGUCCAA
rnacentral:lncRNA from 1 species